ACCACCAAAAUUAACUCAAAAGUAUAGAUAAUUUAGCAUUAAAUAAAUAACAAAACUAAAUCAUUUUUCCACCUUAGUACGGGAGACGGAAAAGGUAAUUUAAGCAAUAGAGAAAGUACCGCAAGGGAAAGCUGAAAGAGUAAUGAAAUAAUUCAUUUAAGCACAAAAAAGCAGAGCUUAACCCUUGUACCUUUUGCAUCAUGAUUUAGCCAGCACUACUCAAGCAAAGUGACCUUUAGUUUGAAACCCCGAAACCAAGUGAGCUACCCCGGGACAGCCUUAAAGGGCGAACCCGUCUCUGUGGCAAAAGAGUGGGAAGAGCCCCGGGUAGAGGUGAUAAACCUACCGAACUUGGUGAUAGCUGGUUGCCUGAGAAAUGAAUAGAAGUUCAGCCUCGUAUCCCUUUAGCCAACCAAGAAAUAUCUGAAUAAGCACAAAAGAGAAAUACGAGAGUUAGUUGAAGGGGGUACAGCCCCUUUAAUAAAGGACACAACCUUAAAUAGGUGGAUAAGAGUCACACUUUAUAAAACUAGUUGUUCCAGUGGGCCUAAAAGCAGCCAUCUGAGUAGAAAGCGUUAAAGCUCAAACAACAUGCAGUUUAUUAUACUGAUAAAUAACCCGACUCCCCUAAAAAUAUCAGGCCAUUCCAUGCCACCAUGGAAGAGACCAUGCUAAAAUGAGUAAUAGGAGGAUAUGAUCCUCUCCUAGCACAAGUGUAAGCCAGAUCGGACAAACCACUGGAAAUUAACGAGCCCAGAAAAAGAGGGUAAUGUGGCCAACAAAAAAAUCAGGAAAAUACCACAGCAUUUAUAUCGUUAAACCCACACUGGAGUGCCUCCAAGGAAAGACUAAAAGAAAGGGAAGGAACUCGGCAAACACAAGCCUCGCCUGUUUACCAAAAACAUCGCCUCCUGCAAAUCCCUAUGUAUAGGAGGUCCAGCCUGCCCGGUGACUACAAGUUUAACGGCCGCGGUAUUUUGACCGUGCAAAGGUAGCGCAAUCACUUGUCUUUUAAAUGAAGACCUGUAUGAAUGGCUAAACGAGGGCUUAGCUGUCUCCCUUUUCAAGUCAGUGAAAUUGAUCUACCCGUGCAG
rnacentral:rRNA from 1 species